rnacentral:rRNA from 1 species
GACAGCAGUAGCCGCGGGAAUACAGAGGGUGCGAGCGUUAAUCGGAUUUACUGGGCGUAAAGCGUGCGUAGGCGGCUUCUUAAGUCGGAUGUGAAAUCCCUGAGCUUAACUUAGGAAUUGCAUUCGAUACUGGGAAGCUAGAGUAUGGGAGAGGAUGGUAGAAUUCCAGGUGUAGCGGUGAAAUGCGUAGAGAUCUGGAGGAAUACCGAUGGCGAAGGCAGCCAUCUGGCCUAAUACUGACGCUGAGGUACGAAAGCAUGGGGAGCAAACAGGAUUAGAUACCCCUGUAGUCCCUGUCUCUUAUAU